UCCAGACUCCUACGGGAGGCAGCAGUGGGGGAUAUUGCACAAUGGGGGGAACCCUGAUGCAGCGACGCCGCGUGAGCGAUGAAGUAUUUCGGUAUGUAAAGCUCUAUCAGCAGGGAAGAAAAUGACGGUACCUGACUAAGAAGCCCCGGCUAACUACGUGCCAGCAGCCGCGGUAAUACGUAGGGGGCAAGCGUUAUCCGGAUUUACUGGGUGUAAAGGGAGCGUAGACGGCAGUGCAAGUCUGGAGUGAAAGCCCGGGGCCCAACCCCGGGACUGCUCUGGAAACUGUACGGCUAGAGUACGGGAGGGGCAGGCGGAAUUCCUAGUGUAGCGGUGAAAUGCGUAGAUAUUAGGAGGAACACCGGCGGCGAAGGCGGCCUGCUGGACCGAAACUGACGUUGAGGCUCGAAAGCGUGGGGAGCAAACAGGAUUAGAUACCCGGGUAAG
rnacentral:rRNA from 1 species